rnacentral:rRNA from 1 species
GAUCCUGGGCUCAGGAUGAACGCUAGCUACAGGCUUAACACAUGCAAGUCGAGGGGCAGCAUUUUAGUUUGCUUGCAAACUAAAGAUGGCGACCGGCGCACGGGUGAGUAACACGUAUCCAACCUGCCGAUAACUCAGGGAUAGCCUUUCGAAAGAAAGAUUAAUACCUGAUGGCAUAGGAUUAUCGCAUGAUAAUCCUAUUAAAGAAUUUCGGUUAUCGAUGGGGAUGCGUUCCAUUAGG